AAUGUAUUGUCAAUGGCGACUUUUGCUUCUGUUUUUGGGAGUUAUUGUGCAGCUGGUAGGUUUAAUGAAGCUAUAAUGAGCUUUGAAGUUAUGGAUAAGUAUGGUAUUCAGCAAGAUGUUGUUGCUGUGAAUUCGCUUUUGAGCGCUAUGUGUAGGGAGGAUAAUCAGACUAUAAGGGCAUUGGAGUUUUUUGAAAGGAUAAAAUCUAAGAUACCCCCAGAUGGUGAUACAUU
rnacentral:misc_RNA from 1 species